UGCAGUGGGUACGGGCAGACUAGAGUGCGGUAGGGGAGAUUGGAAUUCCUGGUGUAGCGGUGGAAUGCGCAGAUAUCAGGAGGAACACCGAUGGCGAAGGCAGAUCUCUGGGCCGUAACUGACGCUGAGGAGCGAAAGGGUGGGGAGCAAACAGGCUUAGAUACCCUGGUAGUCCACCCCGUAAACGUUGGGAACUAGUUGUGGGGACCAUUCCACGGUUUCCGUGACGCAGCUAACGCAUUAAGUUCCCCGCCUGGGGAGUACGGCCGCAAGGCUAAAACUCAAAGGAAUUGACGGGGACCCGCACAAGCGGCGGAGCAUGCGGAUUAAUUCGAUGCAACGCGAAGAACCUUACCAAGGCUUGACAUACACCAGAACGGGCCAGAAAUGGUCAACUCUUUGGACACUGGUGAACAGGUGGUGCAUGGUUGUCGUCAGCUCGUGUCGUGAGAUGUUGGGUUAAGUCCCGCAACGAGCGCAACCCUCGUUCUAUGUUGCCAGCACGUAAUGGUGGGAACUCAUGGGAUACUGCCGGGGUCAACUCGGAGGAAGGUGGGGAUGACGUCAAAUCAUCAUGCCCCUUAUGUCUUGGGCUUCACGCAUGCUACAAUGGCCGGUACAAAGGGCUGCAAUACCGUGAGGUGGAGCGAAUCCCAAAAAGCCGGUCCCAGUUCGGAUUGAGGUCUGCAACUCGACCUCAUGAAGUCGGAGUCGCUAGUAAUCGCAGAUCAGCAACGCUGCGGUGAAUACGUUCCCGGGUCUUGUACACACCGCCCGUCAAGUCAUGAAAGUCGGUAACACCUGAAGCCGGUGGCCCAACCCUUGUGGAGGGAGCCGUCGAAGGUGGGAUCGGUAAUUAGGACUAAGUC
rnacentral:rRNA from 1 species